GCCAUUUUCAAAUGAUGGAUUUUCCUGAAUGUUGUCACUUGUCAUUGACCAAUUUGAGGGAUGGGAGUUUGCAACACCACCGGAAAUCUCAGCAUUCUCCACUCCACCACCAACUGGCUUCUUCUCAAUCACGACCCGUCAUCUCUCUUCUCUCACUCGCGAUUGUUCAUCUCCAUGGAGUUUCUCUCUCAUCUCCAUCCAGCUUUCUUUCAUCAGAUCCUUUCACUACACUGUUUCACCAUCUACAUCGAACUUCUCUCUUAAGAUCGUGCCUAGCUGGGUUUUCACCAUUCAUUGAAGCAGAUUGAUAUAGAUGUUUCAAGCUCUGGCUAUCAAUUGGAGCGGCUGAAUGCAUCUUCAUCUGCCACACCAUGGACAUAUCUUCCUGUAUAUUCAACGUUGUUUUUCAUUUUCUUGGUUGAUGUUCUCUGCCUGGGAUGCAAUGAAUCUACUACUAGAUUUGGGAAUACACUAAAAGAAAUCGUAUGCCAGUGAUUUUCCAUGAUGAUGAUGAGGACUAAAAUUUUCUUCCUAUGCAAAGGGGCUGACAGGUUAGCUUACAAAAUUUAUUGAUCCUGCCUAUGGUUCUAAUUGCUGACAGCUCUAAAAGGAACACUUGAACAUUUCUUCUCUCCCAAGAAAGAGUAAUGUUCAUCUUCCUAAUAAGACUUCUUGUCCUUUUAAUCCAUUCAUUUCCUUUAUUACUUGCAGCAAUAAUUAGAUUUCUUAAAAUGCAGAGAGAAGGAAUUGAGGGUAGGAGGAGUGUCUGGUGUAGUAUGGUUGAUUUGAUUUUCUUGUUGAUUCUUAGUUUGCAAAGUUUCAUUUCUUGUUUGAGUCAUGUUUUGGAUUGUUAACUUGAGUUUUCACUGUUUUAUAAACUGCUUUUUUUUUUUUCCAAUCAAUCUCUACAUAUUUGUAAAAUAACGAAAUCUUGGCAAAUGUUUUUUCAACAACGCAAAUUGUUUUAGUAAUGGUUAUAAUAAACCACUUUUGAAU